rnacentral:misc_RNA from 1 species
AAACAAAUGAAAAUGGCAGCUGAAUAUGAGAUCAAUUCAAUGGAGUAUAGCAAGAAGCUUUGUUUAGCUCAAUGGAAAAGAUAUAGAUUUCCAACAAAAAAUAAUUGAUGUUUGAAUUCUAAGAAACUUAAGAUUUCCAGUUCUUUUAAAAUAAAUUUAACAAAUAAACAAAAAAUGAAACAAUAGAAAUACCAGAUCAGACAUCAGUGUUUUACAACAGUAAUUAAACUGAGUAAAACAGGAAAAGUCACUAGAGAUCACAUAAAAAAUAAAGAAUAAAAACUUGAAUGAUACACUCAAACCAAUACUAAAACCAAA